GUCGUCGUGGGCCACGGCGGCCAGCCCCUCAUUAUUAGAAACAAGUGCGGACGAAAUUGACGGGGCAGACGGAGGUUCGAUUCCUCUCGACGGCA